GCUCUUUUAGCUUAAAAAAAGUAUAAUACUGAAAAUAUUAAGAUAUUAAUUAUAAUUUAGAGCA